rnacentral:misc_RNA from 1 species
UUUCUCUCUCUCUCUCUCUCUCUAAUCGCACGCAUCGUCUUUCUUAUGGUGAUCGCAGCUGCUUCUUCACUCUGCUUAGGUAAUCCUCUUUUAAAGCUCUCACCUUUUCUUUUCUUCUUCCAUUUUUUGUUGUUUCUACUUUUAGUUUAUUUCUGAUGACGAAUGCAAACUGAUUGUUUGAAUGUUUGCCAAAAACGCAUUUGUUUUUUGAUGUUAUUGAGGAUACCCUUUUGAUAUUUUGCUUAAUUUCAGUACUUCUUGUUGAGAAAGGCUAGAUUUUGAAAUUUCUGUUUGGAUUUUUAUUAAAAUUGUGAAAAUUGAAGCAGCCAUUUCAGUGCAAAGUAAUUGGUGGCUGAUCAUGGAACUAUUGUUUUUAACCCUUUCUGAUUUUUGUGUGAGACUCUACUUGAACUUGAAUUAUUUGGUAGUAGAAUGAAAAUUCUUUUUGAAGGAAUGAAGCAACAUGGGGUUCCUCAAGUCAAUUAGUGAGUCUGAGCUGAAAAAGGCAUUGCUUUUGAUUGCGGUUAUGGACGAAAAUCUCACGUGUAGAGUAGUUUGUUUGAAUUUGUUAGUAUCUCUACAAGCUGAACUGCUAUGCUAAAAAAAGAAAAAAAAAUAUAUUUUGGUUUUGAUAUUAACUUCACUUUUGUGGCCCCUUUCUGUGUGUUGCUACGUUGCUCUUUCUUUCUCUUAGAAUCUAAUUCCUAAAAUUAUUGGUGAUAUAUUGGGAAUAGUUCUAGGCGAGUUAGAGAUUUGUAUGUGAACUAGUGAGUGCCAAUUUCUAUUUCAUAAAAUGUCAUUAUGACCUUUUUUAUAACAUUUGUAUGAAUUUGCCGCAUCUAUGCUGCCUGAUUAAGUUGGGUACUUGGCUUGGUCUGUUGAUGCCCCUAUCUCUUCUCCGCUUCUUAACCUUUUCAAACUUUUUAUGUACUUCAUUGCAGUGUCUUUUCCUGUAACAUUUUUCUUGAACCUAAUUUCAGGUCGUUCCAGUUGUCAAUUGUGCCAUGCAGAUGGGUUUUCUUGCUCAACGUCGAAUGGGGUCACAAGCACUUGGAUCAAAUCUCCCAUUGACAGUCACAAACCUUCUGAUUGUUCCAGCAUAAGGCAUAUUUUGUUUUACAAAUUUGUUGCUAAUACAGGAAGUGGGAAAUCAUGUUCAAAUUGCAUGAAAUUAAUUUGGGUUUCCCUUUUCCAACUGAUGGUUUUUGUAAAUGAUUUGAGCUAUUCACAAAUUUCCAUUAGGACCUAUAUACUUAAAUAGUUGUGUUCCCCAGUUAUUUGCCAUUUAGAAGGCUGGCCUGUUAAUAAGGUUUUUUAAUCCCUUCUCACUGUGUAAUAAACUACUUUUCCCACCACAUGUUAGUGAAAAAACAUGUCUUCUUUUUCAUGUUAAAUUGCAGGUGUAGAAGUCCUUAUUUUGGAACACAAUUCCAUAGGUCAUCUGUGGGGCAUGAUCAUUGCCUUUGGAAAGUUUCAGUUGCUGCAGAUUAUUCUGAUUCAGUACCGGAUUCAUCUAGCUAUACAAAUGACCAAAGUUAUCAUCCACUUGAAGAAAUCAAAGUCAACAGAAGGAUCCGGGAAACUCAGCUCACCUCUGCCGAAAUAGCUAGGACAACUGUUGAGGUGCUUGCUUGGAUAAUUUCAUGGCAGUGAGAAUUAUAAUGUUGAAUUUAUUAAGUCGUGGCUUAAUAAGUCUUUCUCUUUGUAAUAAUGUGUGUUCAUGCAUUUCAUUUUAUCUUAGGCUAACAGCAGUGCUUUGCUGGUAUUUCCGGGGACAAUACACAGUGAACCACAUGAACAAAUUUCAUGGGCAGAUUUUCAAUAUGUUAUUGAUGAUUAUGGAGGUCUGUUCUACUUGUAUUGCGUGUACAGGAUAAUGUUUAAUUAUAUUAACUUGAUUUGACUUAAUCGUUUUAUUUUUAUUUUUCUUUUCAGAUAUAUUUUUUCAAAUUUUUGAUGAUAAAAACAUUUUGCAAGAUCCUGGAGCUAGUAAUCCUGUGGUGAGGACAUACUUGUUUUUUAAAUGUUAUCCCUGGCUUAAAGUAAUAAAAUUUAGCACCAUGACUGUACAAAUUGUAGAAACUGCUGGUUUUGGAAGACCUUCGGAGUCAAAAACUCAAACCUUUAGAAGCCCAGCUAACCAGAUGGUUCCUUAACCUCCUUUAGAAACAUAGAAUAGUUUAAGUGAAAGUUUAUUUGUAGAAACUAGUUGGUAAUAUAUCUUCCUAGUACCCUUUAUGUCUUGCAUGGUUUUCCAAUGUUUCUAGUUUUCAAAUUUUUACGGGUCAUCUUCCACAAUAAAGUUUUAUAUUUUAGUCUUUAUAUAACUUGUUCAUAAUGUUUGUAUCAAAGAUUUGAUAAGAGGUGAAUGCAAACUCCUUUUUCAUUUAAGGGCUUAACUGUGGACAAAAUUUUGCAAGAUGGAACUGCAUGAAAAGAAUUGAUGCAAUCCUGGAAUCUGUGAAUAAUUCAUUUUAUCUUAUUAUUGGCCAUUUAUUGAAACACUGUCAGUAUGCUGUUCACCAUUUAUUCAGUACUUUUCAAAGGCUGUUGAAGCACAUUUCCUUGUCUCUGGAUUUCACCUGAAUAUAGUAUUAAUUUCUGUGCUUCUACUAGAGAUGGCUGAGGAUAUAAUCUUAAUGUUUAUAAUAGACUUCAUUUGAAACAUGUGUUUCAUAAUUGUUUCAAGCCUCUAAAACAGCAGAUCCUUAUAGAGACAUUUGUUUUUGUGUCUAAAUACACCCAAUAUAUAGUUUAAAUUGUAAGGAUAAAGGAUGUCUGCUGAAUCUGAAAUUAUGCCCUGGGAAACGUUAAGGAAGACAUUAUUACAUGGACAUAAUGAAAAUAACCAUUGCUACCUUGAUACCUUAGGCAUAAAAAGGUUUCUGAAGAGGCCGGGGAAGCAAUGUGGACCUUGCUAAUUUGACAGUGUAUUACUCUCUUUUUGGGAAACUCAAAGAUAUCAAUUUACAUAAAUACUAGGGUAAUGUGAAAGUCUUAGCUGUUUCGUAUUUUCACAGCAAUUGGCAACCUUUGCAAUUUUUUUUUUAUUACUUUUACAUUGAUGAACAUCAUUAUGUCUGCAGAUGUUUAUAAUUUUCCACUCUUUUGCCAUGGCUUAAGUUACAUGAAUGCAUCACUUUUCUACUUUCACUGCCUUACAUUCAGAAUGUUUUGAUUGGGAUCGAUAUUCCAAUGUAUGAGAAUAAAAGGGUGGCCAGUGAGUAUGAUGUUUUCGAUAUUGGCAGUACUGACGAUAUUCUGUUUGAUGAUGACUACUUUGAGGUAAUGGAGCCUGAAAUGUCUGAUGUUCCAGUUGAUUGGGGGAUGCCAGAUACUUCCAGUUGGGUUCAUCCUAUUUAUUUUGCCAAGUGCUUGACAAAGGCAGUUGAUAUGGAAUAUGAUAGAAAAAUGGACCAUCCAUCAAAUGGUGUUUCCAUUGUCGGGUGCCUCAGACCUGCUUUUGCUGAUGAAGAAUCAUACUUAAGAAGGUUAUUUCACUUUGAAGAUAAUGAUGAAUAUAAUUCCAACUGGAAAGAUGCAGAAAUUUUGAGCUUUAGCUCCAAAAUUAAUGGAAGCAGCACAAGAUCAACUAUUUAUCGGUUGGAGAUCAUGAGGAUAGAGCUAUUCUCUGUAUAUGGCAUUCAGUGUGCAAUUGGUUUAGAAGAUUUUCAAGAUGCUGAGCCUGAUAUCCUUGCACACUCUACUUCAGCAAUUCUAGAACAUUUUAGUGAGAAGGGAAUCAGGUGCAAUGCUGCUCUUAAAGCUCUUUGCAAGAAAAAGGGUCUUUCUGCUGAGGGAGCUAAAUUGAUUGGGGUUGAUAGCCUUGGCAUAGAUGUCAGAAUUUUCUGUGGUGUGGAAGUACGAACUCAUCGUUUUCCCUUCAAAGUCCGGGCUACCUGUGAGGCAGCUGCUGAAAAGCAGAUUCAACAGCUAUUGUUUCCAAGGUCUCGCCGAAAGAAAUUUAGAAGUCAUGCUGAUGGACUUAGGGACUCCAAGUCAUUUUAGUUCUGCUGUUGUAACUAAUAUUGAGGAAGGAUUUUGCAGUUUUUAAAUAAAUUUUUAGGCUGGGUUUGUCAUCGAUGUAGGCCUUUAAGAAAUCCAAUAAAUUACAGAUGAGAAAAACCUUCUUUACAUUUUGAAAUAUAUAUCAAAAGGUUUUUUGGCUUUUAUAUUUUAAGAAUUAAAAAUUAUCCCACUUGAAAGGUUGUAAUUGGC